rfam:Schistosoma curassoni strain Dakar, Senegal genome assembly, scaffold: SCTD_scaffold0008941
AUCCAGCUGACGAGUCUCAAAUAGGACGAAGAACGCAUCCUGUAU